rnacentral:rRNA from 1 species
GUGAAAGCACUUCGGUGUGAGUAGAGUGGCGGACGGGUGAGUAACGCGUGGGAAUCUACCCAGUAGUGGGGGACAACUACCGGAAACGGUAGCUAAUACCGCAUACGCCCUAUGGGGGAAAGGCUUCGGCCGCUAUUGGAUGAGCCCGCGUCAGAUUAGCUAGUUGGUAGGGUAAAGGCCUACCAAGGCAACGAUCUGUAGCUGGUCUGAGAGGACGAACAGCCACACUGGGACUGAGACACGGCCCAGACUCCUACGGGAGGCAGCAGUGGGGAAUAUUGGACAAUGGGCGAAAGCCUGAUCCAGCAAUGCCGCGUGUGUGAAGAAGGCCUGCGGGUUGUAAAGCACUUUCAGUUGGGAAGAUGAUGACGUUACCAACAGAAGAAGCACCGGCUAAAUCCGUGCCAGCAGCCGCGGUAAUACGGAUGGUGCGAGCGUUAAUCGGAAUUACUGGGCGUAAAGCGCGCGUAGGCGGCUAAGUCAGUCAGAAGUGAAAGCCCCGGGCUCAACCUGGGAAUUGCUUUUGAUACUGCUUAGCUAGAGUUUGGUAGAGGAUAGUGGAAUUCCAGGUGUAGCGGUGAAAUGCGUAGAUAUCUGGAGGAACAUCAGUGGCGAAGGCGACUGUCUGGACCAAAACUGACGCUGAGGUGCGAAAGCGUGGGUAGCAAACAGGAUUAGAUACCCUGGUAGA